rnacentral:tRNA from 1 species
GCGGGUGUGGCGGAAUAGGUAGACGCACCAGAUUUAGGAUCUGGCGCUUUCGAGCGUGGGGGUUCAAAUCCCUUCACCCGCACCA